AUUGAACGCUGGCGGCAUGCCUUACACAUGCAAGUCGAACGAGAUCUUCGGAUCUAGUGGCGCACGGGUGCGUAACGCGUGGGAAUCUGCCCUUGGGUUCGGAAUAACUUCUGGAAACGGAAGCUAAUACCGGAUGAUGACGUAAGUCCAAAGAUUUAUCGCCCAAGGAUGAGCCCGCGUAGGAUUAGGUAGUUGGUGAGGUAAAGGCUCACCAAGCCGACGAUCCUUAGCUGGUCUGAGAGGAUGAUCAGCCACACUGGGACUGAGACACGGCCCAGACUCCUACGGGAGGCAGCAGUAGGGAAUAUUGGACAAUGGGCGAAAGCCUGAUCCAGCAAUGCCGCGUGAGUGAUGAAGGCCUUAGGGUUGUAAAGCUCUUUUACCCGGGAUGAUAAUGACAGUACCGGGAGAAUAAGCUCCGGCUAACUCCGUGCCAGCCGCCGCAGUAACAC
rnacentral:rRNA from 1 species